UACGUAGGGUGCGAGCGUUAAUCGGAAUUACUGGGCGUAAAGUGUGCGCAGGCGGCCGAGCAAGUCGAGUGUGAAAGCCCCGAGCUUAACUUGGGAACUGCGCUCGAAACUACUUGGCUGGAGUGUGGCAGAGGAAGGUGGAAUUCCACGUGUAGCGGUGAAAUGCGUAGAGAUGUGGAGGAACACCGAUGGCGAAGGCAGCCCCCUGGGCUAACACUGACGCUCAUGCACGAAAGCGUGGGGAGCAAACAGG
rnacentral:rRNA from 1 species